GGAAAAGGGAAGGCACUUGCCAUUGGCAGGAGACUCAUUUGUCUGUCAUCGUGUAUCACCUAUCGUUAGGUCAGGUAAUUCCUCAUAGGACACUGAUUGGCCACAAGCACAUGACUUGAAGCCUGGCAGGAUGGGUUCUCUUGUGAUCUAUAUCUUGCGAAUCCAGCUCCCUCGCAAGACGGCCCAGACAUACCCCAGAUUGACGUGACGCCGUACAGUCUGACGGAGAAGGGAUACUCGGCCCUGGAGCGUGAGCGGGUUCUGCUGAUGUGUCAGGCCCAGUCCAACCCUCCGAGCGUGUACACCUGGUACUACAACAACUCCCAGGUCAACGGUGGCCCCAGUUUCAUCAUCAACAAGAUCCUCCGCUCACACACCGGAAAGUACGCCUGUCGGGCCCAGAACACCCAGCUCGACACCAGCUCCAUCAAAAGCAUCAACCUGACAGUUUUCUACCCACCGGACGGCUCUCCGUCGUGUUCGGUGGAGCCCGUGCUGAACCACAGCUCCCUGAGCCUGCAGUGCUCCUGGCCGGGGGGGCUGCCGGCCCCCACCCUCCACUGGACCCGAGGGCUGCUGGGCCUGGGCCAGGAAGUAGCCGUCCCGGGACAGGAAAUAGACAAACUGAGCAACAACGUAACCCUCCCGCCGGCGGUGGCCAGGGCGUCAAACAACACCUUGUUCACCUGCCUGGGCUCGUAUGGCGCCACCAACCACAGAGCCUACUGCAGCAUGCGCACCUAUUCACCGCCGGCGGAGCCUGUGUGUUUCGCCAUCGCGACCCGGAACAACACGUACCUGAUGCUCUCCUGCUCCUGGAACGGGGGGGUCCCGCGGGCCCUGCUGUGGUGGGACGG
ensembl:lncRNA